GUGGGGAAUAUUGCGCAAUGGGGGAAACCCUGACGCAGCAACGCCGCGUGAGCGAUGAAGGCCUUCGGGUCGUAAAGCUCUGUCUUUAGGGACGAUAAUGACGGUACCUAAGGAGGAAGCCACGGCUAACUACGUGCCAGCAGCCGCGGUAAUACGUAGGUGGCGAGCGUUGUCCGGAAUUACUGGGCGUAAAGGGUGCGUAGGCGGAAUCUUAAGUCAGAUGUGAAAUCCCCGAGCUUAACUUGGGAAUAGCAUUUGAAACUGGGGUUCUAGAGUGCAGGAGAGGAAAGCGGAAUUCCUAGUGUAGCGGUGAAAUGCGUAGAUAUUAGGAAGAACACCAGUGGCGAAGGCGGCUUUCUGGACUGUAACUGACGCUGAGGCACGAAAGCGUGGGGAGCAAACAGG
rnacentral:rRNA from 1 species